GCAAGCACCAUCCAUAGCAAAUCAAGGCAAGUAUUUACUUGAGAAAUAUAAUUGAUUUUUGUCUUACUUGAACCUUCGUGCACAGAGGAUACUAGCAACGGGAGCUAAGAAACCCGUGCACGGAGGUUAUAAGGCAGGGAGGUGUGAAACCUCCAUGCACGAAGGCCUUUUUUCAAGGUCUCCGUGCGGAGAUCCUUCGGUUUUCGUGCGUGACAACCCAAGCCUUGGAUUUCUAUGCACAAAGAUUUAAAUUUUCUACUGUUCAUGUAUUUUUUAAUCUAUAUAAAUAUUAGUUUUCCGCUUGUUUAGAAUUGUUAAAUUUCUUUACAAAUAUUUUGUUUUCAAAUUAUUUAUGCAGAUGUCUUUGGAAUAUAUAUUCUCUCCAAAUCAAUGGUUUUCUGCUAUUAUUAGUCAAUAUCCAAAUCGGGAAUACCUUAAAGACUUUAUAGAAUUUAUAGAUGCAAAUCAACAAUGUUUUAUGAUUUGCAGUAAUUUUUAUGAAUUUUUUUCUGGAAUUAUUUAUAGAGGAGAGGAAGAGCUAUUUAGUAGUAGAUUGGAAUAUGAAUUUGUAAUGCGGCUUGUAGACUGGCAAAAAUAACGAAGUAUGGGUAAAAUUAGAUGAUCGUAUUAUUAGAUUUGGUAUGCAAGAAUUUUGUCUUAUCACUAGACUACCUUGUCAUGAAUCAGUCAUGGUGAUUGAUCAUAGAAAUCAUUAGUUCAAUGGUAGUCAAAGAAUUACCAUGAGAAUGCUAUUUGAAGUUUUCCAUGAAUGUGAAGAUGAAGUAGAUAAAUAUAAGUUGGGAUUAGUUAUGUUGGUGGAGUGUGUUAUAAAAUCAGUUGGAAGAAUUAUUGAUUACAAAACUCUUGGUAUGGUCGAGCACCUUGAUGAAUUUCUUGGAUAUCCUCAGGGUCGAAAAUGAUAUUUUGUUUUGUUAAAUUCACUACAAGAACCACAAUUGCAAAGAGCACAAAAAGUAUGACGCAACGAACAAAUAGAUUGUAAGUAUGCACUACGAGAGUAUCCACUUGCAUUUCAGAAAUUGGACAAAAAUUUGGACCGGCGUCGAUACGAAAUAGCACAGAGUCCACGAAUGUAUAAGUGGAGGCCUAAUAAACUGCUGACUGAAAAAACGAUUAAGUAUUUUCUGACUACUCGAGAGAUUCAGGUUAUUUCAACGUUACAUCAUACGGAGGAAGAAUUGAAGACAUCUUGGUAUAUAAAUCUUUCACUGUCAGCUGACAAUGAACAUAGUGUAUUAGAUGACAUCGUCCGUGGAGAAUUAGAUAAUAUGGCACGACAAAUCCCAGAUAAUACUUUUGAGGAAGAAAGGGAUAAUAUAUAUGUGCCAGAGAUGACCAUUCCUAGUACGUCAAGAACUUCACCAAUAGCGGGGCCUAAUUAUGGAUCUAGCGCCUCUAAUUAUGUAACCGAAGACCGGACGAUAGAACUACUGGAUGUCCAGAAGCAAGACAUAAUAAAAGAGGUGUUUGAUAUAUGCGGCAACUUGAGAACAGAAGUUUAUGAUAAUCAAAGACGGUUGUUCGAACAACACCAAAAUUGGCAGGAGGAUUACACGCAAUUUAGUAUACGUUCCUACAUGGAUAACUCAUUAUCGAGUUUUUUAAACACACAUUUGGAGAAAGAGGAACAAUUAUUCCAUCAACAAAAAAAAAAUGGCAAGAAGAUCAUUAUCAGACCAUGCACUCUUAUGUAGAUACCAGUUUAGAUUCUAUGUGAUAUUAUGUUGAUGAACAAAAUAAGAAUAUAUUGUAGAAAUUAUUUGAAUGGAAAUCAAACAUGGAAGCCAUUAUUAGUUGUAUGCAAGAAGACAUUCCUAUUGGUACAGGUCUAAUUCCCGAUGAUCGACCGAAAGAUGCAUCAACGUCUCAACAAGUCAAAAGUUUUGAAACAUCAGAAAGAGAGAAGAAAAAGAAGCAAAAACAAAUACAAUCUUCGUCGUCUAGAAGACGUCCUUUGAAAGACUAUUUUAUGCAAAAAUACUCUACUCUUAGAGACUGGAUAGUGAAGAACGAAUCAGGGUUACAAAGAUAAUUUUUUAUUAUUGGUUUAAAUACUACAAUUUUAUUUCGAUUUAUUUAGCACUAAUUUUAAUUUUGCUAUGCAGUAUAUAUUUGGAAGAUGCCAUUGGAAACAUCUACGGAAGAGCUUGGUUGAAAAUUUUAUUGGAUAGAACAAAAGAUAUAAAUACUGUGAUAUACGAUUGCAGCCAUAAUGAGCAUACACCAGAUCAAGUGAAGGCACAUGCGAAUGCAACAGUUACUGUGAUUAAUUCUUUACUAUUCGACAAAGGUUUUGCAGCGAGACGAGAUAUAAGCAAACACAAAAAUAAAGAAAUGAAGGUAGAGAUUAUACCAUAUCUACCCUGUGCAAACAACGGGCUAAACUGUGGAGUUUUCGUGCUUAAAUAUAUAGAAUGUUUUGUUCUAGGAUAUUUGAUAUAAUGAGUUUCACCAGACAGGAUGAUUAUAUAUAGACAAAAAAAUUACAGUUGAUAUUUUAAAUAAUGAAUAUUUCCUUCAUCCACGUCUGUCUUCGUUAUUGUAAUGGAGUGAUGUAAUUUGUCAUAUUGUA